rnacentral:tRNA from 1 species
UCCCUGGUGGCUCAGAGGGUAAAGAAUCUGCCUGCAAUGCAGGAGACCCAGGUUUGAUUCCUGGUUCAGGAA